CAUUGCCAAAUUUAAACAUGCAAAUCGUCAGUACUCUAAAUUUCAUACCGGAUCGGUAUGCAGAAGAUAGGGAUAGGUGGAGAGAGAUGAUUCGCUGUGGCGACCCCUGAAGGAAAAAGCCGAAAGACGAAGAAGAUGAAAAAGCUGGACAGAUUAAAGAUGAGCCACGAAGUAUACAGAUUCUUUGCAGUAUUACAGCUUGUGCAUAUUGUAUAGGACCUGUCUGAUCUAUCCUGAUGCCCCACCCCUGGUUGGAGUCUUAUUGCUAGGUGGCGCACGCUGCUGCUGGGAAUGGAUCCGCGUAGACAGCCCAUGACCGAUGCGAGUCCUGUGGAUAUAACCACUUGGAGA